GCGGGCGUAGCUCAGUGGUAGAGUCCUUGCUUCCCAAGCAAGUUGUCGGGGGUUCAAAUCCCCUCGCCCGCUCCA
rnacentral:tRNA from 6 species